GGACCUAAUGAUGACAGUUUUUAUUUUCAAGUGAACUGUCCCUUUAACAGUGUGUAUCCUGUUCAACAGGGCUUAGACUUCUCACUUUACUACAGUGGCACUUUUGUAAAACAUUUAAGCCUAAACAAAUAAUCCAAUAGCCUUGCAGGGUCUUUAUUUUCAGACGUCCUGCCCACUGCCUCUCCUCGAGACUGUCAAACGGGGCUGUGAUGUUCAGCAGAGCUUUUUCACCGCUUUCCCAAAUGACACUACCAUUUAUUAAGUGUCAGAGGAGCUUUUUUGUGUGUGUUUGGAAUCCAUCUGUUUCUGAACUUUUUUUUGUGUGUUGCUGAAACGCCGAAAUGAAGGAUCAGACGAGGUUUCGUUGCCCCUCGGAGUGAUUCCUGAAUGGUUUCAUCAUCAAACUUCUCACGUUUCACUUAAAAAACAACAACAGCCGUAUUAAAAGAUUUCAAUCUGAAUAUGAUGAAAGCUCCCUUGUUUUUCCACAGAUUUUCUGGUCAUGCGUUUAAUAUGAGAGUAAAUUUUGUCAAAGCUGUUUGUGCAAUAAAUGAACCGAACAUGUCAGAA